rnacentral:rRNA from 1 species
GACGAACCGUGCGAACGUUAUUCGGAAUCACUGGGCUUAAAGCGCGUGUAGGCGGAUGGGGACGUCGGUUGCUGAAAUCCCCCGGCUCAACCGGGGAAGUGGCGCCGAAACGCCCCGUCUGGAGGGACGUAGGGGGACCUGGAACUUCCGGUGGAGCGGUGAAAUGCGUUGAGAUCGGAAGGAACGCCCGUGGCGAAAGCGAGGUCCUGGACGUUUUCUGACGCUGAGACGCGAAAGCUAGGGUAGCGAACGGG